UGGAGCUGUAGCUCAGUGGCAAAGCAUCUGCUCUUCAGGCAGAAGGCCCUUGGUUGAAUCCCCAGCGCCCCAG